AUUAGGCAGCAGCAAGGAAUCUUGUCCAAUGGGCGAAAGCCUGAGACAGCGACGCCGCGUGAGGGAUGAAGGCCUUCGGGUUGUAAACCUCUUUCAGGAGGGACGAAAUUGACGGUACCUCCAGAAGAAGCCCCGGCCAACUACGUGCCAGCAGCCGCGGUAAUACGUAGGGGGCAAGCGUUGUCCGGAUUUAUUGGGCGUAAAGGGCUCGUAGGCGGCUCAACAAGUCGGUCGUGAAAACCCAGGGCUCAACCCUGGGACGCCGGUCGAUACUGUUGUGGCUUGGGUCCGGUAGAGGAGAAUGGAAUUCCCGGUGUAGCGGUGAAAUGCGCAGAUAUCGGGAGGAACACCAGUAGCGAAGGCGGUUCUCUGGGCCGGUACCGACGCUGAGGAGCGAAAGCGUGGGGAGCAAACAGGAUUAGAUACCCUGGUAGUCCACGCCGUAAACGUUGGACACUAGGUGUGGCGGAUUUAUCAACGUCUGCUGUGCCGUAGCUAACGCGUUAAGUGUCCCGCCUGGGGAGUACGGCCGCAAGGCUAAAACUCAAAGGAAUUGACGGAAU
rnacentral:rRNA from 1 species